GCCGGCGUGGCGAAACGGGUAAACGCAGAGAUCCGAUACAUCUCCGGGCGAAAGCCCUUGUGGGUUCGAGUCCCACCGCCGGCA
rnacentral:tRNA from 1 species